ACUACGGGGGGCAGCAGUGGGGAAUAUUGCACAAUGGGCGCAAGCCUGAUGCAGCCAUGCCGCGUGUGUGAAGAAGGCCUUCGGGUUGUAAAGCACUUUCAGCGGGGAGGAAGGCGUUAAGGUUAAUAACCUUGUCGAUUGACGUUACCCGCAGAAGAAGCACCGGCUAACCCCGUGCCAGCAGCCGCGGUAAUACGGAGGGUGCAAGCGUUAAUCGGAAUUACUGGGCGUAAAGCGCACGCAGGCGGUCUGUCAAGUCGGAUGUGAAAUCCCCGGGCUCAACCUGGGAACUGCAUUCGAAACUGGCAGGCUAGAGUCUUGUAGAGGGGGGUAGAAUUCCAGGUGUAGCGGUGAAAUGCGUAGAGAUCUGGAGGAAUACCGGUGGCGAAGGCGGCCCCCUGGACAAAGACUGACGCUCAGGUGCGAAAGCGUGGGGAGCAAACAGGAUUAGAUACCCUAGUAGUC
rnacentral:rRNA from 1 species